rnacentral:rRNA from 1 species
AGCGAACGCUGGCGGCAGGCCUAACACGUGCGAGUCGAACGAACUCUUCGGAGUUAGUGGCGGACGGGUGAGUAACACGUGGGAACGUGCCUUUUGGUUCGGAAUAACUCAGGGAAACUUGUGCUAAUACCGAAUGUGCCCUUCGGGGGAAAGAUUUAUCGCCAUUAGAGCGGCCCGCGUCUGAUUAGCUAGUUGGUGAGGUAACGGCUCACCAAGGCGACGAUCAGUAGCUGGUCUGAGAGGAUGACCAGCCACACUGGGACUGAGACACGGCCCAGACUCCUACGGGAGGCAGCAGUGGGGAAUCUUGCGCAAUGGGCGAAAGCCUGACGCAGCCAUGCCGCGUGAAUGAUGAAGGUCUUAGGAUUGUAAAAUUCUUUCACCGGGGACGAUAAUGACGGUACCCGGAGAAGAAGCCCCGGCUAACUUCGUG